CUUAGCCCUUUCCCCCCUCUGAAGCAGUAUGUCGGCGUGCGGGUGAAAAUGCCAGUGCGGGAGCUGCUGAGAAAAGUCCGGCUUUCUAAAGGGAUGGACCCCAGUGACAUAAAGGAAGCACAAUCAAUAAAGGGAACUACAACUAAAGGAUCUUCUGGAACAGCAGCAAGAAGAAAAGCUCGCCCUUAUACAGAAAAACAGUUCAGACAG